rnacentral:rRNA from 1 species
UGAAAAUCCCGACUUCGGAAGGGAUGUGUUUAUUAGAUAAAAAACCAAUGCCCUUCGGGGCUUUUUGGUGAUUCAUGAUAACUUUACGGAUCGCAUAGCCUUGCGCUGGCGACGGUUCAUUCAAAUUUCUGCCCUAUCAACUUUCGAUGGUAAGGUAUUGGCUUACCAUGGUUUCAACGGGUAACGGGGAAUUAGGGUUCGAUUCCGGAGAGGGAGCCUGAGAAACGGCUACCACAUCCAAGGAAGGCAGCAGGCGCGCAAAUUACCCAAUCCCGACACGGGGAGGUAGUGACAAUAAAUACUGAUACAGGGCUCUUUUGGGUCUUGUAAUUGGAAUGAGUACAAUUUAAACCUCUUAACGAGGAACAAUUGGAGGGCAAGUCUGGUGCCAGCAGCCGCGGUAAUUCCAGCUCCAAUAGCGUAUAUUAAAGUUGUUGCAGUUAAAAAGCUCGUAGUUGAAACUUGGGCCUGGCUGGCGGGUCCGCCUCACCGCGUGCACUCGUCCGGCCGGGCCUUCCUUCUGAAGAACCUCAUGCCCUUCACUGGGCGUGCUGGGGAAUCAGGACUUUUACUUUGAAAAAAUUAGAGUGUUCAAAGCAGGCCUUUGCUCGAAUACGUUAGCAUGGAAUAAUAAAAUAGGGCGUGCGUUUCUAUUUUGUUGGUUUCUAGAGACGCCGCAAUGAUUAACAGGAACAGUCGGGGGCAUCAGUAUUCAGUUGUCAGAGGUGAAAUUCUUGGAUUUACUGAAGACUAACUACUGCGAAAGCAUUUGCCAAGGAUGUUUUCAUUAAUCAGUGAACGAAAGUUAGGGGAUCGAAGACGAUCAGAUACCGUCGUAGUCUUAACCCGUAAACUAUGCCCGACUAGGGAUCGGGCGAUGUUCUUUUUUC